AUAUAGGCACUUGGCAUGCGAUACCGCCAUCAUGAUCUGCGUUGUGGAUUAUCGCCGGGAUUUCGUCAACAAUAGGCAUACAGCGUGCCCGUUACGCCGAUCACCACACAAGAAAGGCGAAUGUGUGUCUCGAGUCUGUAAGCCAGUACAUCCUCUGUGGAGAUCCGCCUUCACCUAGAUCUACGCUGGGAGGGUGCGGUCUGGCAGAUACUCACCUGAGUCUUCCAGAGAUGAUCGUGUGCCAGACCCACUUCAUCCCUGUCAGGAGCACAGGUAGUUACCAUCUAACUGAUAUUCCGACACACUGUGUUAUACAGCCCUGUGAAGAGUUUGGCUUGUGCUCUUCCAAUCGCUAUGCCAAAAUAUUUUUACAGAAGAAUGUCGGGGGCCCAUGUUGUCAUGACAGCCUUUCCACAGAACGCUGUCAGAUGGUUAUGACCUCAUGUACGAGGCCAUACUUCAUAGUAAUGAGGAAGAUCAUUGGACAAUUUACCUGCAAAAUGAAUAUAAUGACAUGUAUGAUGGC